rnacentral:rRNA from 1 species
UACAGAGGUCUCAAGCGUUGUUCGGAUUCAUUGGGCGUAAAGGGUGCGUAGGUGGCGAGGCAAGUCGGAUGUGAAAUCCCGGGGCUUAACCCCGGAACUGCAUUCGAUACUGCCUUGCUCGAGUACUGGAGAGGAGACUGGAAUUUACGGUGUAGCAGUGAAAUGCGUAGAUAUCGUAAGGAAGACCAGUGGCGAAGGCGAGUCUCUGGACAGUUACUGACACUGAGGCGCGACAGCGUGGGGAGCAAACAGG